UUAAUUAGAAAGCUUAAUGGAGCUAAACAUUGCACAGGUGUGAUUAAGAUUGGAUUUUUGUCUUCUCAACUGUGUUAGUUGACUUUACACCAAAGAAAGCAAAUGAAAAGUUUAUUAGUGAUGAUAAAUGACUUUGACUUCAGACUGGAAGAACUUAAAGUUUUGGAUUUGUGUUUGCUCUUUUAAAUUUGUUUAUGAAUUGAGAAUCUUGGUUUUUGAGCCUUGACAUUAUUGAUGAUGAUUUGGCAGGAGAGUUAUUUAAAAUUUCAG
rnacentral:lncRNA from 1 species